UCUUUCAAGUAGAAGUUUGCAAAAUGUAUAGCUUCAUUACAACCGUUAGCUCAUGGAGUGAAAGUAAUGCUUGAAAGACAAUAUUGUCUGACCAAUGCAACUAAUCUAUUCUAUUGGUCCCUAGUGCUGAGUGCCAGUGAAGCCAUAGGCCUACAGUUUCCAGGGCUUGAGUUAUUAAUAUCUGACUGCCUUGAAACAAAAUGUGGUGUACGGAUGAGGUCCUGCCUGAGGACUAAUGAGUGGGAACUUACAGCCAAUGCCAAAGAUUUUAUUCUGGCUGACUCCUUCUGACUCCUUCCUGCUCUGCUGGCUUAACGCAGACAUUAACAAUGGGACUAAACUCAUUGACUGUGUAAUUGAUGAUGGCUUGAAGAAAAUGGAACCUUUUAUCAAUCUAAUUGGCUCUACCCUGUUUAGUGAUCCAGCCUAUAUGGCAUGCUGGAUUGUUCACGUCGGGAAAGUGUUGGCUUCAUAUAUUGACACUGAUAAGUACAGCGACCUCAUUAACCAAAUAGGCAACUGAAGCAAAAAGGAAACCCUAUGAAUACAUAACGUGUUAUUCAAGGGUAAAUAUGGAUGACUGCAUUAACAUGUGGAAUCGAAUUUUGGAUAAACCAUCAUGGGUGAAACAACAGUGCAAAGAUAUCCUUGUUACCUUUAUCCAUGAUGUCAUAUCAGCUUCAGUUAAAUGUCAGAAGUCCUGAGAAGAAAAGUCACUGUAAAAGGAAUAUGCUCACUCUCUUCACACACACACACACACACACACACACACACACACACACACACACAUAAUUCAGCUAGAAUGGGACAUUUUUCUAUGUAGCAUUGCCAUGUUUAUAAGCCACAGUAAACGUAGUCACACACUGUAAACAAAAUCCAAAUUAAAUUGACCAAGAUUCCGUUUAUAA